UCCAUUUAAGGCCUUUGAGGGUCUGCGGGCAGAGGAGUGUGGGAUCCUGAACGGCUGUGAGAACGGGCGCUGUGUGCGGGUUCAGGAGGGCUACACCUGCGACUGCUUCGACGGAUACACCCUGGACCUGUCCCGCAUGGCCUGCGUCGAUGUGAACGAGUGCUCGGAGCUAAACAGUAGGAUGUCACUGUGUAAAAAUGCAAAGUGCAUUAACACAGUGGGUUCCUAUCACUGUGUGUGUCUGCCGGGCUUCACUUCCUCUGACAAACCCAACUACUGUGUGGAGGCAGCAACACACCGAACAACACACACAGCGAGCAGGAACCGACACUAGGGGGCGCCAAGAGACACUAAAACACACGCACAAGCUUGUAUUACUAUACUUGUGAGGACACCCUCUGACAUUCAGCCACUGCUAAAUCUUUAACACCAACCUAGAAGGGAAACUCCCUGCUCUGGUUAAAUUAGGCAGGAAACACCUCACAGCUGCUCAUCUAGAGUGACCACGAGGAAAACUUUUGAUUCAACGUAUAAAAAAAUCAGGGUGUUUCCCUUUAAACUGUAAAACAUACUGUAUAUGUUAAAUCUUUGCCCAAAAUCAAUUUACCUCAAAAACAUUAAACUUUUAAGUUACUUUAGAAUCAACCCAAUCCUAACACAAAACUUACUCCAUAAUUUGGAAACAAAUCCACGGCAGCUGUUUACCAGUGUCAUGUAUUUUUACUAAUGUCCCUUUACUACACCAUUGAUUUUCUUUUCAGUACUUUUUGUACUUUUACUAUGUGGAGUUUUAAUAUUUUAAAUAACCCUUUUCUAAAUAUUAUAUGUAUUCCUUUUACUAAUGCUUCAUUUUGUAGAAAUCAUAAAAGCAUGAUUUUCGAUGGAUGUUCACAGACUACACUGUUAACACUGAA